AUGAGUAAAUGCACCCGGAUAGUUUGCUACUGCGACAAUAAAAACUCACAUUUUCACACGAAAAGUUAUUGGCACCCACACAACUUCUCCGGAUAAAUACAACGUGUUAUUUCUCCGGAUAAAUAAAACAGCCGGAGAAUGAGUGAAUGAGUUUUUCAUGGAAUCUUUUCUUCGCUCGCUGCUUUCCUGCCGUUAUUCCAAAACACGAAAAAACAAGUCUAUCAUUUUUCUUUGCCGCUUUUCUUUGUAAUUAAGUGUAUUUUUUUAAGUUUUUAUUGAUUUCCACGAAAUUAAAAUUUUAUCACCUUCUCCGGUGAGAAGGAAAAAGUCAAAUAAAUUUUAUCCGGAAAAUCAUUCUCAUGCUAUUUGUGGAGACGGAGAAUUUUGCGACUGAUCUUAUCUCGGAAAAGUUGGACAUCGGAUAAGCUUCUUUUCGCGUGAGUGAGAGAGAAUUACAAUGCCUGCGCAUAACAUAGAAGAGCGUUUUGACAGAAGAAGAUAUUUUGAAGCUUGUCACAGAAGCAACAGUUAGUGACGACAUGGAAUCUGCUGAAGAACAACAAUCUGUUGAAUCCGAACGAGCUGAUAUACUACUCAAAAAACCUGGCAGCUUUACGGUAAUAGAAAAAGUGAUCGAAUGAGCCGAAGAGGAUUCUCAACCCAUAGGUGAUAUUUUGUUUCUGCGUCGUCUCAGGGAAACAGCUCUUGUGGACCCGAAUAUAAAUGUACAGUACAAGACCAUGAUUUUCACUGUGACUGUUCAGUAAUUUUACAAUAAUUUACAUAAUUUGUGAGGAUGUCGGCUACGGACGAGGAAUUCUUCGAGUUUUCUGAAGAGGAGACUCCAGAGCCAGCACCAGAAGUGUUGAAGUCAUAAAAAAAUAAAGAUCUACUUGCGGUUCGAGGAUUUGUACACUAUCUAAACAGAAAAAUGGAAGAUGGAACGCACUACUGGGAGUGCAAAGGAAGGAGGACAAAAAGUACUGGUACCCAUCAAAUUAUUUCACAGAGUGAUCACAGCUGUGGUCCUGACCGUCUGUCUGCUUUCUCGGCAGUGUUCACCCUUAUGUCUUCGAAGUCCGAAAAUCUCUACAGGACUGUUUUCGCGAAAUUGAUCGAAGUAGCUGAGACAUUGGAUAUUGAAUUGAAUCCAUCGGUCAUACUUAGUGAUUUUGAAAAAAAGCAAUCAUAAACGCGUGUAAGCUCGAGUUUCCGGAAGCGCAGCACAAUGGUUGUUUUUUCCAUUUGAGUAAGAAUAUGUGGGACCAUAUUAAAGAUACGAAAACGACUGCCUUAUUUAGCAGUAACCCUGCGAAUUUUAAUAUAUUUAAGAAGGUGCAUGCUCUGGCUUUUCUCCCGUCGGAGAAAAUUCCAGAAGCUUUUGCAGAAAUUAAAAGUUCGGCACCAUCA